CGGGCUCUUCGGAGCUAGUGGCAGACGGGUGAGUAACGCGUGGGAACCUACCUAUAAGUACGGAACAACACAGAGAAAUUUGUGCUAAUACCGUAUGUGCCCUUUGGGGUAAAGAUUUAUCGCUUAUAGAUGGGCCCGCGUUAGAUUAGCUAGUUGGUGAGGUAAUGGCUCACCAAGGCGACGAUCUAUAGCUGGUCUGAGAGGAUGAUCAGCCACACUGGGACUGAGACACGGCCCAGACUCCUACGGGAGGCAGCAGUGAGGAAUAUUGGACAAUGGGGGCAACCCUGAUCCAGCCAUGCCGCGUGAGUGAUGACGGCCUUAGGGUUGUAAAGCUCUUUCGCUAGGGAAGAUAAUGACGGUACCUAGUAAAGAAGCCCCGGCUAACUUCGUGCCAGCAGCCGCGGUAAUACGAAGGGGGCUAGCGUUGUUCGGAAUCACUGGGCGUAAAGCGCGCGUAGGCGGACUUUUAAGUCAGGGGUGAAAUCCCGGGGCUCAACCUCGGAACUGCCUUUGAUACUGGAAGUCUUGAGUUCGAGAGAGGUGAGUGGAAUACCGAGUGUAGAGGUGAAAUUCGUAGAUAUUCGGUGGAACACCAGUGGCGAAGGCGGCUCACUG
rnacentral:rRNA from 1 species